rnacentral:rRNA from 1 species
ACAGUGGACGCGAGCAUCUGUGGCCAAGUUUUUAAGGGCGCACGGUGGAUGCCUUGGCACCAGGAACCGAUGAAGGACGUGGGAGGCCACGAUAGUCCCCGGGGAGUCGUCAACCAGACUUUGAUCCGGGGGUUUCCGAAUGGGGAAACCCGGCAGUCGUCAUGGGCUGUCACCCGCUGCUGAACACAUAGGCAGUGUGGAGGGAACGCGGGGAAGUGAAACAUCUCAGUACCCGCAGGAAGAGAAAACAACCGUGAUUCCGGGAGUAGUGGCGAGCGAAACCGGAUGAGGCCAAACCGUAUACGUGUGAGACCCGGCAGGGGUUGCGUGUGCGGGGUUGUGGGAUCUCUCUUCCACGGUCUGCCGGCCGUGGGACGAGUCAGAAACCGUUGAUGUAGGCGAAGGACAUGCGAAAGGUCCGGCGUAGAGGGUAAGACCCCCGUAGUCGAAACAUCAGCGGCUCGUUUGAGAGACACCCAAGUAGCACGGGGCCCGAGAAAUCCCGUGUGAAUCUGGCGGGACCACCCGCUAAGCCUAAAUAUUCCCUGGUGACCGAUAGCGGAUAGUACCGUGAGGGAAUGGUGAAAAGUACCGCGGGAGCGGAGUGAAAUAGUACCUGAAACCGUGUGCCUACAAGCCGUGGGAGCGUCGGACAUCAAGCUUGCUUGGUGUCUCGUGACUGCGUGCCUUUUGAAGAAUGAGCCUGCGAGUUUGCGGUGUGUUGCGAGGUUAACCCGAGUGGGGAAGCCGUAGCGAAAGCGAGUCCGAACAGGGCGGUUCAGUAGCACGCUCAAGACCCGAAGCGGAGUGAUCUAGCCAUGGGCAGGUUGAAGCGGCUGUAAGAGGUCGUGGAGGACCGAACCCACCAGGGUUGAAAACCUGGGGGAUGACCUGUGGUUAGGGGUGAAAGGCCAAUCAAACUCCGUGAUAGCUGGUUCUCCCCGAAAUGCAUUUAGGUGCAGCGUCGUGUGUUUCUUGCCGGAGGUAGAGCACUGGAUAGGCGAUGGGCCCUACCGGGUUACUGACCUUAGCCAAACUCCGAAUGCCGGUAAGUGAGAGCGCGGCAGUGAGACUGUGGGGGAUAAGCUCCAUGGUCGAGAGGGAAACAGCCCAGAGCAUCGACUAAGGCCCCUAAGCGUACGCUAAGUGGGAAAGGAUGUGGAGUCGCACAGACAACCAGGAGGUUGGCUUAGAAGCAGCCACCCUUGAAAGAGUGCGUAAUAGCUCACUGGUCUAGUGAUUCCGCGCCGACAAUGUAGCGGGGCUCAAGCGUACCGCCGAAGUCGUGUCAUUGCAGCAAUACGGCCAACGCCGGCUGUGAUGGGUAGGGGAGCGUCGUGUGCCGGGUGAAGCAGCCGCGGAAGCGAGUUGUGGACGGUUCACGAGUGAGAAUGCAGGCAUGAGUAGCGAUACAAACGUGAGAAACGUUUGCGCCGAUUGACUAAGGGUUCCUGGGUCAAGCUGAUCUGCCCAGGGUAAGUCGGGACCUAAGGCGAGGCCGACAGGCGUAGUCGAUGGAUAACCGGUUGAUAUUCCGGUACCCGCUGUGAAGCGUCAAACAUCGAGCAUCGUGAUGCUAAGGCCGUGAAGCCGUUCCGGACCCUUCGGGGAAAGGAAAGUGGUGGAGCCGCCGGACCAAGCGGUUAGUAGGUGAGUGAUGGGGUGACGCAGGAAGGUAGUCCAUCCCGGGCGGUGGUUGUCCCGGGGUAAGGGUGUAGGCCGUGCGGUAGGUAAAUCCGUCGCACAUGUGGCUGAGACCUGAUGCCGAGCCGAUUGUGGUGAAGUGGAUGAUCCUAUGCUGUCGAGAAAAGCCUCUAGCGAGUUUCAUGGCGGCCCGUACCCUAAACCGACUCAGGUGGUCAGGUAGAGAAUACCGAGGCGUUCGGGUGAACUAUGGUUAAGGAACUCGGCAAAAUGCCCCCGUAACUUCGGGAGAAGGGGGGCCAUUCCUGGUGAUGACAUUUACUGUCUGAGCUGGGGGUGGCCGCAGAGACCAGCGAGAAGCGACUGUUUACUAAAAACACAGGUCCGUGCGAAGCCGUAAGGCGAUGUAUACGGACUGACGCCUGCCCGGUGCUGGAACGUUAAGGGGACCGGUUAGCUCCAUUUCGGUGGGGCGAAGCUGAGAACUUAAGCGCCAGUAAACGGCGGUGGUAACUAUAACCAUCCUAAGGUAGCGAAAUUCCUUGUCGGGUAAGUUCCGACCUGCACGAAUGGCGUAACGACUUCUCGACUGUCUCAACCAUAGGCCCGGUGAAAUUGCACUACGAGUAAAGAUGCUCGUUUCGCGCAGCAGGACGGAAAGACCCCGGGACCUUUACUACAGUUUGAUAUUGGUGUUCGGUUCGGCUUGUGUAGGAUAGCUGGGAGACUGUGAACUCUGGACGCCAGUUCAGGGGGAGUCGUCGUUGAAAUACCAGUCUGGUCGUGCUGGAUGUCUAACCUGGGUCCGUGAUCCGGAUCAGGGACAGUGUCUGAUGGGUAGUUUAACUGGGGCGGUUGCCUCCUAAAGAGUAACGGAGGCGCCCAAAGGUUCCCUCAGCCUGGUUGGCAAUCAGGUGUUGAGUGUAAGUGCACAAGGGAGCUUGACUGUGAGACCGACGGGUCGAGCAGGGACGAAAGUCGGGACUAGUGAUCCGGCGGUGGCUUGUGGAAGCGCCGUCGCUCAACGGAUAAAAGGUACCCCGGGGAUAACAGGCUGAUCUUCCCCAAGAGUCCAUAUCGACGGGAUGGUUUGGCACCUCGAUGUCGGCUCGUCGCAUCCUGGGGCUGGAGUCGGUCCCAAGGGUUGGGCUGUUCGCCCAUUAAAGCGGUACGCGAGCUGGGUUUAGAACGUCGUGAGACAGUUCGGUCCCUAUCCGCUGUGCGCGUAGGAGUCUUGAGAAGGGCUGUCCCUAGUACGAGAGGACCGGGACGGACGAACCUCUGGUGUGCCAGUUGUCCUGCCAAGGGCAUGGCUGGUUGGCUACGUUCGGGAGGGAUAACCGCUGAAAGCAUCUAAGCGGGAAGCCUGCUUCGAGAUGAGGACUCCCACCCCCUUGAGGGGUUAAGGCUCCCAGUAGACGACUGGGUUGAUAGGCCGGAUCUGGAAGCACCGCAAGGUGUGGAGGUGACCGGUACUAAUAGGCCGAGGGCUUGUCCUCAGUUG